UGAGGAAUAUUGGUCAAUGGGCACGAGCCUGAACCAGCCAAGUAGCGUGAGGGAUGACGGCCCUAUGGGUUGUAAACCUCUUUUAUGCGGGAAUAAAAUGUUUGACGUGUCAUACAUUGUAGGUACCGCAAGAAUAAGGACCGGCUAAUUCCGUGCCAGCAGCCGCGGUAAUACGGAAGGUCCAGGCGUUAUCCGGAUUUAUUGGGUUUAAAGGGAGCGUAGGCCGCAAGUCAAGCGUGUUGUGAAAUGCAGGGGCUCAACCUCUGGAUUGCAGCGCGAACUGGCAUGCUUGAGUACGCACGAGGUAGGCGGAAUUUGUGGUGUAGCGGUGAGAUGCUUAGAUAUCACGAAGAACUCCAAUUGCGAAGGCAGCUUACCGGAGCGCAACUGACGCUGAAGCUCGAAAGUGCGGGUAUCGAACA
rnacentral:rRNA from 1 species